rnacentral:tRNA from 1 species
UGGCCUAGUGUUUAAGGCUAUGGAUCGCCAAUCCGGAGACGGCGGGUUCGAUUCCCGU